AAGGUUUUAAGUUAAUUAAACUAAUAGCCUUCAAAGCUAUAAAUAAAGAGAUUCUUUAAGCCUUA
rnacentral:tRNA from 1 species